CCCUUAGAUGUUCUGGGCUGCACGCGCGCUACACUGAUGCGCUCAACGAGUUUAUGACCUUGCCCGGAAGGGUUGGGUAAUCUUCUUAAAACGCAUCGUGAUGGGGAUAGAUUAUUGCAAUUAUUAAUCUUCAACGAGGAAUUCCUAGUAAGCGCGAGUCGUCAGCUCGUGCUGAUUACGUCCCUGCCCUUUGUACACACCGCCCGUCGCUACUACCGAUUGAAUGGUUUAGUGAGAUCCUUGGAUCGGCCCUGUCGCGGCUGGCAACGGCCGCGUCGGCGCGUCGAGAAGACGAUCAAACUUGAUCAUUUAGAGGAAGUAAAAGUCGUAACA
rnacentral:rRNA from 1 species